AGUGAACGCUGGCGGUAGGCCUAACACAUGCAAGUCGAACGGUAGCACAGUAAGAGCUUGCUCUUACGGGUGGCGAGUGGCGGACGGGUGAGGAAUACAUCGGAAUCUACUUUUUCGUGGGGGAUAACGUAGGGAAACUUACGCUAAUACCGCAUACGACCUACGGGUGAAAGCAGGGGAUCUUCGGACCUUGCGCGAUUGAAUGAGCCGAUGUCGGAUUAGCUAGUUGGCGGGGUAAAGGCCCACCAAGGCGACGAUCCGUAGCUGGUCUGAGAGGAUGAUCAGCCACACUGGAACUGAGACACGGUCCAGACUCCUACGGGAGGCAGCAGUGGAGAAUAUUGGACAAUGGGCGCAAGCCUGAUCCAGCCAUACCACGUGGGUGAAGAAGGCCUUCGGGUUGUAAAGCCCUUUUGUUGGGAAAGAAAAGCAGCAGGUUAAUACCCCGCUGUUCUGACGGUACCCAAAGAAUAAGCACCGGCUAACUUCGUG
rnacentral:rRNA from 1 species